CCUACGGGUGGCAGCAGUGAGGAAUAUUGGUCAAUGGGCGCGAGCCUGAACCAGCCAAGUAGCGUGAAGGAUGACUGCCCUACGGGUUGUAAACUUCUUUUAUAAAGGAAUAAAGUUAGGCACGUGUGCCUUUUUGUAUGUACUUUAUGAAUAAGGAUCGGCUAACGCCGUGCCAGCAGCCGCGGUAAUACGGAGGAUCAGAGCGUUAUCCGGAGUGAUUGGGGUUAAAGGGAGCGUAGAUGGGUUGUUAAAUCAGUUGUGAAAGUUUGCGGCUCAACCGUAAAAUUGCAAUUGAUACUGGCAUCCUUGAGUACAGUUGAGGUAGGCGGAAUUCGUGGUGUAGCGGUGAAAUGCUUAGAUAUCACGAAGAACUCCGAUUGCGAAGGCAGCCUACUAAACUGCCACUGACAUUGAUGCUCGAAAGUGUGGGUAUCAAACAGGAUUAGAUACCCCUGUAGUC
rnacentral:rRNA from 1 species